UACGAAGGGAGCGAGCGUUGUUCGGAAUCACUGGGCUUAAAGCGUGCGUAGGUGGAUUGGUAAGUAAGGAGUGAAAUCCCAGGGCUUAACCCUGGAACUGCUCUUUAGACUGCCUGUCUGGAAUUCGGAAGAGGUUGGUGGAACUCCCAGUGUAGAGGUGUAAAUUCGCAGAUAUUGGGAAGAACACCGGUGGCGAAGGCGACCAACUGGUCCGACAUUGACACUGAGGCACGAAAGCGUGGGUAGCAAACAGG
rnacentral:rRNA from 1 species